ensembl:snRNA U6 U6 spliceosomal RNA
GUGCUCACUUCGGCAGCACAUAUACUGAAAUUGGAACGAUACAGAGAAGAUUAGCAUGGCCCCUGCGCACAGAUGACAUGCAAAAUUCAUAAAAAAAAGGUAAAUGCU